UCUCCCCCUUCCCAUUACAGAGAGGCUCAGCCCCUGGUUCCUGGCUAGGGUUUUACGUUGUGGAUGUGGGUUUACGGAAAAAAAAAAAAGGGAAAAAGCUGAGAAGCUGCGCUGGGACCCCGGAUUGCUCAGACCACCUUAAAUCAGCCUGGCCGCCCCAGCUACUGUGGAAAUUCCUUUCUCCGCGGUGGUUGGCUGGGGGCGCCAGCCAAUCCGCUCGCGACGCUCCCACAUGGGUCAGUGACGUCACAUAGGAAACUGGCCAAUGGGGAUUAGGAGACCAGCAACCAAUGGCAGGAGGCACUGGGAUCAGUAGGGCCAAUCGGAAGGCAGCUCGGCGCUCCCGGCGGGGUUUGGCGAGUGUGGCCCCCCUCCCUAGGAGAAUCUGAGACCCUAGUGGACGCCCGAGCUCGACCGGAUUGGAGGAGGGGGGGCUAAGGCUCCAUUAUUAUCCAGAAACAGGGGAAAGCGAGUCACCCCCAAGCCUGGCCUAUCUCCCCUUCAAAACAAGGGACCCUCGUGCAAUAUGCUACCAGCUAGCUGGCGGAGCAGAGGUUGCAUCUUUCUCCCUAUUUCACAGAUAGAGUCUUAUUCUGUCGCCCAGACUGGAGUACAGUGGCGAGAUCUCGGCUUACUGCAACCUCCACCUCCCAGGCUCAAGCCAUCCUCCUGCCUCAGCCUCCCGAGUAGCUGGGAUUACAGGUGCGUGCCACCACGCCUGGCUAAUUUUUGUAUUUUUAGUAGAGAUGGGGUUUCACCAUGUUGGCCAGGCUGGUCUUGAACUCUUGACCUCAAAUUAUCCACCUGCCUCAGCCUCCCAAAGUGCUGGGAUUACAGGAGUGAGCCCCCGCGCCCAGCCUGCCAUUGCUAUUAUCACUGGGCUACCUGGUUGAUAUACACACCAUGGCCCUCCGAAUUAUGGGCUGAGAGCUUGCCCUGUGAUGGGUACAGUGCCGCCUCCAGGCUUCGCCACCGGGAUUCCCUCUGCCUGGAGCACCCGCCCCUCCCUGAGAGCCACCUCCCAACAUGGGCUCUUGCUGUCAAACCCUCCUCGGCUCAAAUGUCACCUCCUCAGAGAGGCCUCCCCUCCUCUCCUGGGCCAAGCAGCCCCGUCUCUCUCUGUCACCAACCCUUGCUAGAUUUUUCUUCCUACCACUUGGUGUUCUCUGCAAUGGUCUUGACCUAUUUUCCAAACCUUCCCCAUGACUCUGUGAGCUCCACGAGGGUCGAGAGGCGCUCCGUCUGGGUCCGUGAUACCCAAGCCUGGCACACAGUAGGCGCCCAAUAAAUACAGGAAUGAAAGGCCCGCUGCUGCCCCAGGUUGGUUUUUCUUCCCCACCAAUCCAGUUGCUGGGA
rnacentral:lncRNA from 1 species